rnacentral:tRNA from 1 species
CAAAGGAUAGUUUAGUUUUAAAAUGCUAGUUUUGGGGACUAGUGAUGGGGGUUGUCUCCCCUCUUUUGA